rnacentral:rRNA from 1 species
UACGGAGGGGGCUAGCGUUGUUCGGAAUUACUGGGCGUAAAGCGCACGUAGGCGGCUUUGUAAGUUAGAGGUGAAAGCCCAGAGCUCAACUCUGGAACUGCCUUUAAGACUGCAUCGCUUGAAUCAUGGAGAGGUCAGUGGAAUUCCGAGUGUAGAGGUGAAAUUCGUAGAUAUUCGGAAGAACACCAGUGGCGAAGGCGACUGACUGGACAUGUAUUGACGCUGAGGUGCGAAAGCUAGGGGAGCAAACGGG